GCAUCGAUAGCCGAGCGGUAAAGGUUCGCGCUUGAUAAUCGCAAGAUCCUCGGUUCGAUUCUGGCUUGCUGCA
rnacentral:tRNA from 1 species